GUCCUUUCAAGGUAAUUGUUAGGGGCUGGAUUGGGUUUUUUUUUGUCAAGAACCUCGUUGUCUUUCGAAGUAAUUAUCAGGGCUAUUUUGAGUUUUUUCUCUUGAUUAAAUAAAGAUAUGAUGAUGCAGAUUGUAAUGCUGUUUUCUCAGCUUUUGUUGCUUUUUUGUUCUUCUUAUCCCCACCCCAUCCCCCUUUUUUCGUUGAUUGCACUUAUUGAGAAUUAUAUCCAUAGAUAUAUUUUUGAAGAGCCAGACUAUGGAUAAAAUUUUCUCUUUUCUUUUCUGUUCUUUCUUUGAUGUCAAAAUUUAGAUGAUUUCCCAAAGCAUGCACCAUAGUUAUAAUUGCUAAUAGCCUAAUAGAUUUCAUGAAUAACUUACUAAAGCUUCUAUGAAUUGGUGACAUAGGGCACCAGCAAUGGGAGGCUCAGAUUGAAGACUGGCAAAGACCAAUCCUUCAAGACUAAAGACUUCCUGAGUGGUACCCUACAACCCUUCUGAAUUUUGUUUUUGGUGACUUAUAACCCUUCUGAAUGAGCUUUACUAUCUCAAUUCUGGAUUCACAAUUUGGACAGAUGGUUCAGGUCCAGUGCAUAGUUCAGCUAGCUUAGGGGAAAGAAAAUUUUCGCUGGAUGGGUUCAUAUAUGAUUUAGAGAGUCCGAAUUUAUCGCCCCAGAGUUAUACUGCUAUGAACAUUCUUGAAAGAUUUAGCUCUAUACACACUCCAACUGCAUCAAAGUUAGCAUAUGGAGUAAAUCUGCUUCAAGAAGGGGAAGAAAACAUUGGUCAAUUUCUUUAUCUUGAAGGCAUUGAGUAUCCAAUGUGGAAUACCUACCUUUGAUGUUCAUUUUUACUCAUCUUUUGCACUGCUCAUGCUUUUUCCAAACUUGAACUCAGUGUCCAAAGAGACUUUGCUGCGGCCGUAAUGAUGCAUGAUCCUGAAAAAAGGCAAGCUCUAGUUGAUGGCUGAAUGGUUCGCAGAAAGGUUCUUGGUGAUGUUCCUCAUGAUAUUGGAGUCAAUGAUCCAUGGUUUGAAAUAAAUGGCUAUAAUCUUCAUAACACAGCUAUGCCUUAUUUGCAUGCUUUAUUUCCAUUGGUGCAACUUGUGAAGUAGGUUUGUUAGAUUAACAACAUAUGAAGCUGCAUGGUCCAAGGAUGGACUUGGGUAUAGUACCUUAUUACUUUAUCCCCUUGAUACUAAAACUUGUGGAAAAUUGCAGCAUCAAGUUGAUAACAAGUAAGCUUUAACCACAGAAUCAGAAGGUUAUGUCAGACAUUUUAGUUAUCAAUAAAU